CCUACGGGAGGCAGCAGUGAGGAAUAUUGGUCAAUGGACGAGAGUCUGAACCAGCCAAGUAGCGUGAAGGAUGACUGCCCUAUGGGUUGUAAACUUCUUUUAUAUGGGAAUAAAAUGUUCCACGUGUGGGAUUUUGUAUGUACCAUAUGAAUAAGGAUCGGCUAACUCCGUGCCAGCAGCCGCGGUAAUACGGAGGAUCCGAGCGUUAUCCGGAUUUAUUGGGGUUAAAGGGAGCGUAGGUGGAUUGUUAAGUCAGUUGUGAAAGUUUGCGGCUCAACCGUAAAAUUGCAGUUGAAACUGGCAGUCUGGAGUACAGGAGAGGUGAGCGGAAGUCGUGGUGUAGCGGUGAAAUGCUUAGAUAUCACGAAGAACUCCGAUUGCGAAGGCAGCUCACUGGACUGCAACUGACACUGAGGCUCGAAAGUGUGGGUAUCAAACAGGAUUAGAUACCCGAGUAGUC
rnacentral:rRNA from 1 species